rnacentral:rRNA from 1 species
CCUACGGGUGGCAGCAGUGAGGAAUAUUGGUCAAUGGACGAGAGUCUGAACCAGCCAAGUAGCGUGAAGGAUGACUGCCCUAUGGGUUGUAAACUUCUUUUAUAUGGGAAUAAAAUGUUCCACGUGUGGGAUUUUGUAUGUACCAUAUGAAUAAGGAUCGGCGAACUCCGUGCCAGCAGCCGCGGUAAUACGGAGGAUCCGAGCGUUAUCCGGAUUUAUUGGGUUUAAAGGGAGCGUAGGUGGAUUGUUAAGUCAGUUGUGAAAGUUUGCGGCUCAACCGUAGAAUUGCAGUUGAAACUGGCAGUCUUGAGUACAGUAGAGGUGAGCGGAAUUCGUGGUGUAGCGGUGAAAUGCUUAGAUAUCACGAAGAACUCCGAUUGCGAAGGCAGUUCACUGGACUGCAACUGACACUGAGGCUCGAAAGUGUGGGUAUCAAACAGGAUUAGAUACCCGGGUAGUC